rnacentral:sRNA from 1 species
UGUAUCUGAAGCCUGACGAGGAUGAGAACCUCCGGGGGCAGGAGGUUCGACCCGAGCGCAGCGAGAGAACGUUGCGUCAGCAACGGCCCGCAGGGCGAGCCACGCAGUGGCGAGUCAUCCUCUAUCACCGACCA